rnacentral:snRNA from 1 species
UUUCUUAAGAAUUCAGAAUGUUU